GGAUGUGAGGGCAAUCUGACUGUGCCAUCUGUCACCCCAUUGAUCGCCAGGGCUGUUUCAGCUGAUCUGGCUGGCUAGGCAGGUGUCGCCUUCCUCCCUCCCCGCUCCAUGUGUGUCCCUCCCAAAGCCACGUGCUCUGUCGAAGAGGACGACCUUCCGGCUAGAGAAGGACCAUUCUUCCGUCAAGGCUAUACGAGUAGCUGUGCUCCCCUGCUAGAACCUCCAAACCAGCUCUCAAGAACUGAGCUGACCUCUCAAAGGCCAGUUUCAUGAAAUGACCCCUGAGGGCAAGAACGUGCCUCUGC
rnacentral:snRNA from 1 species